rnacentral:rRNA from 1 species
UACGUAGGGCGCAAGCGUUAUCCGGAAUUAUUGGGCGUAAAGAGCUCGUAGGCGGUUUGUCGCGUCUGCCGUGAAAGUCCGGGGCUCAACUCCGGAUCUGCGGUGGGUACGGGCAGACUAGAGUGAUGUAGGGGAGACUGGAAUUCCUGGUGUAGCGGUGAAAUGCGCAGAUAUCAGGAGGAACACCGGUGGCGAAGGCGGGUCUCUGGGCCGAUACUGACGCUAAAACGCGAAAGCGUGGGGAGCAAACAGG